AUUGAACGCUGGGGGCAGGCCUGACACAUGGAAGUCGCGCGCGUGGCGGACGGGUGAGUAAUGUCUGGGAAACUGCCCGAUGGAGGGGGAUAACUACUGGAAACGGUAGCUAAUACCGCAUACCAUCGGAUGAGCCCAGAUGGGAGUAGCUGGUAGGUGGGGUAAAGGCUCACCUAGGCGACGAUUCCUAGCUGGUCUGAGAGGAUGACCAGCCACACUGGAACUGAGCCACGGUCCCGACUCCGACGGGAGGCAGCAGUGGGGAAUAUUUCACAAUGGGCGCAAGCCUGAUGCAGCAAUGCCGCGUGUAUGAAGAAGGCCUUCGGGUUGUAAAGUACUUUCAGCGAGGAGGCGUUACCAGCAGAAGAAGCACCGGCUAACUCCGUGCCAGCCGCCGCGUUAAUAC
rnacentral:rRNA from 1 species